rnacentral:lncRNA from 1 species
CUUUGAUCAUACUAAAACUGAAAAUUAUUCUAUGUCAACAGAAUAAAGCUAGACAAACAUGUCCCUAAACUAAACUCCACAAGACUCACUUCAAUUAAUGUUAUAUAAGAGACAUUUAUCUUUGAUUUUUAUCAAAAUCAUAAAGCUAGACAAACAUGUCCCAUACUGCAAAUGAAUGAAAUAAGCUAAAACAAAAUGCACUUCUGCACUUCUUUAAACUGGAAUACGUGCAACACUUGCAUAAGCAUAACUCUGUCUCAAUGUUAUGAUCCAUGGGAAGUUGAGAUUUUUACAGUCUCAUGUAUAAUUACUAGUGCACAAUACACAGCUACAGAGUAUGGAAUAUGCAUUUUAACAUUCAAAUAACAGAUGGCUAUUUACAUACUUAAUAUACUGAAAUGUAUUAAACGAC